rnacentral:tRNA from 1 species
UGGCUUAGACAGUAAAGCAUCUGCCUGAAAUGCAGGAGACUUGGGUUCAACCCCUG